UACGUAGGGGGCAAGCGUUGUCCGGAAUCAUUGGGCGUAAAGAGCGCGUAGGCGGACUUAAAGGUCUGGUGUGAAAGCCCGGGGCUCAACCCCGGAGGGUCACUGGAAACCAUAAGUCUUGAAUCUGGAAGAGGAGAGUGGAAUUCCUGGUGUAGCGGUGGAAUGCGCAGAUAUCAGGAGGAACACCGAUGGCGAAGGCAGAUCUCUGGGCCGUAACUGACGCUGAGGAGCGAAAGCGUGGGGAGCGAACAGG
rnacentral:rRNA from 1 species